UCCUCCUCGUCCUCUCCCUGCCCCCUCCUCCUCCUCCCGGUCCCCAGCAGCUGCGGCUUGGGGAGCAGCCGGCGGCGCCGCGGCCGUGCAGCCUUUGUGUCGGGCCGGGCGCGCGGGGCCCAGCGCAGGCAGGCCACGCGGGGACGGAGGAGGCAGAGAGGACGGGCAGUGAUGGAGAAACGGGAGAGGAGCCGGCCGAGCGCCACCGUCACCACCAUCACCAUCACCACCAUCACCAUCACCAUCACUGACCAUCGCCCGCGACAGCUCCCCCAACCUCACCUCCCAUCUCAUUUCCCUGUGCAAUGCCAACUUUAUCAGAUCAUUUCCUUUUCACUGGGCCCAAGGGACUGCUGACCAGACGGGACAAGCACAGCAGCAGCAGAGCCCUCAAGACUGUUAGGAAGCCCAGCAUGAGAGGGCUGUGGGACCUUCUUAUGAGAAGUAAAACUUACAGAAAAUAAGCCCCUAACUCCACCGCCUUUUCCCCUAUUGAUUAGAAAACGAAUCUUGAACUUUUCAUAUUUUGUGUUCUAGUCUAAGAAGACAACUAGACAAUCCUACAUUUCUUGGCAUAUUUGGAAAAUAUUCUUUCCCAAAAGUUAUAUAGCGGGGCUGCUUUUGAAUAGUGCUGUGGAGUCCCCACAUGGUGUGGUUUCCUCUGUGUCCUCCUUCUAUAAUGCGAGAAGGAAAAAUGAUAAUAUUAAAAAUGAUGUGAACCCAACUGAGCAGC